rnacentral:rRNA from 1 species
UGGGGGAUAUUGCACAAUGGGCGAAAGCCUGAUGCAGCGACGCCGCGUGGGGGAUGAAGGCCUUCGGGUUGUAAACUUCUUUUGCUCUGAACAAGGCAUGCUUUUGGGGUGUGUUGAGUGUAGGGGUUGAUUAGCGCCGGCUAACUACGUGCCAGCAGCCGCGGUAAUACGUAGGGCGCGAGCGUUGUCCGGAAUUAUUGGGCGUAAAGGGCUUGUAGGUGGCUGGUUGCGUCUGUCGUGAAAGCUCAUGGCUUAACUGUGGGUUUGCGGUGGGUACGGGCUGGCUUGAGUUCAGUAGGGGAGGCUGGAAUUCCUGGUGUAGCGGUGGAAUGCGCAGAUAUCAGGAGGAAUACCGGUGGCGAAGGCGGGUCUCUGGGCUGUUACUGACGCUGAGGAGCGAAAGCGUGGGGAGCGAACAGG